rnacentral:tRNA from 1 species
GGCUCAAUGGGCUAGUGGUACGAUUCUAGUUUCGGGUGCGAGAGGUCCUGAGUUCAACUCUCACUUGAGCCC